CACAGCUUCAUUUUUCAGUUUUUGAUAUAACGUUUGACUCUUCGUUUUAUUUAAAAAUUUUCUACGAUUAGUGUUUUUAUUAUUAUUAGAUGAUAAAACAUGAAUAGUAUUUUAUACGUGACUAUUUUUUUUACUUAUGUAUAAAAUUUUCAAAUAAGACAGAUGGUCAAACGUUAGAAAAAAAACCUAAA
rfam:Oryza glaberrima chromosome 6 Oglab06_0239_5, whole genome shotgun sequence.